UGUGUAGGCGGCCUGUUAAGUUCCGUGUGAAAUCUCCCGGCUCAACUGGGAGGGUGCGCGGAAAACUGGCGGGCUAGAGUGCGGGAUGGGAGAGUAGAAUUCCUGGUGUAGCGGUGAAAUGCGUAGAUAUCAGGAGGAAUACCGGUGGUGUAGACGGCUCUCUGGACCGUAACUGACGCUGAGACACGAAAGCGUGGGUAGCAAACAGGAUUAGAUACCCUGGUAGUCCACGCCCUAAACGAUGCAUAUUUGGUGUAGGUCAUUCAGUUGAUCUGUGCCGGAGCUAACGCGUUAAAUAUGCCGCCUGGGGAGUACAGUCGCAAGGCUGAA
rnacentral:rRNA from 1 species